rnacentral:rRNA from 1 species
AUGUGUCCGCAACAGAUUGAUAUUUGUUGGAUGGCAACUCUAAGCUGCAUGCAUGUUCAUUGGGAGAAUCAUGAUGAAUCUUUGAUGAACACUGUCAAAGAUGAAAAGCCGAAUUCUUUGAUUCCCCGGGCUGUCAGGGAUUUUGUACUUCCAGCAGGUUUUCUAGUUUCUUGUAGGUUCCUGCAUAAGAGGUCAUUAUUGCAGAGUUGGAGACUGAUACUAUGUUUAUCAGUACAUGCUAUUGGAAUUCCCAACAAACUUGACAGGAUGGAUCAGUCACAUGUUGGUUACAUCAAGUCUUCUAAAGGUAUCCCGUAA